rnacentral:rRNA from 1 species
GGGGAAGGGUAGCUUGCUACCUGACCUAGCGGCGGACGGGUGAGUAAUGCUUAGGAAUCUGCCUAUUAGUGGGGGACAACAUUCCGGAAGGAAUGCUAAUACCGCAUACGCCCUACGGGGGAAAGCAGGGGAUCUUCGGACCUUGCGCUAAUAGAUGAGCCUAAGUCAGAUUAGCUAGUUGGUGGGGUAAAGGCCUACCAAGGCGACGAUCUGUAGCGGGUCUGAGAGGAUGAUCCGCCACACUGGGACUGAGACACGGCCCAGACUCCUACGGGAGGCAGCAGUGGGGAAUAUUGGACAAUGGGCGAAAGCCUGAUCCAGCCAUGCCGCGUGUGUGAAGAAGGCCUUUUGGUUGUAAAGCACUUUAAGCGAGGAGGAGGCUACUGAGAUUAAUACUCUUGGAUAGUGGACGUUACUCGCAGAAUAAGCACCGGCUAACUCUGUGCCAGCAGCCGCGGUAAUACAGAGGGUGCGAGCGUUAAUCGGAUUUACUGGGCGUA